UACGGAGGGUGCAAGCGUUAAUCGGAAUUACUGGGCGUAAAGCGUGCGCAGGCGGUUUGUUAAGUCUGUUGUGAAAUCCCCGAGCUCAACUUGGGAAUUGCAAUGGAUACUGGCAGGCUGGAGUAUGGUAGAGGAAGGUGGAAUUCCCGGUGUAGCAGUGAAAUGCGUAGAGAUCGGGAGGAACAUCCAUGGCGAAGGCAGCUACCUGGACCAACACUGACACUGAGGCACGAAAGCGUGGGGAGCAAACAGG
rnacentral:rRNA from 1 species